GUAGAUAACAUCAUCUAUGAUCCAUAAGGACUGAACCUAUUUCCUGAGUGUCGGUUUCUGACUUGGACAGAGCAGAGCUGUGAAUUGAAUCAACACCCAGAAGAAUUGGGAGCAAUGUUAAUGGAGAAAAUGUCUCUGUCCAGCAGUGUCCAGAAUGGAAGCAGUGGUCAAGGAUUCAUUGAGCAACGUCAACACGGCCCUGAUGAUGACACUUUAAAGCCUUUCUAGCUCUGAGAAUAACUUCCCUUUAAUUACUUUUCCAGUCCUGAAAGGCACAAAGCCAAACAAAGAAAUCGCAGGACUGCAUUUAGUCCUCAAACCACCCAAUUGCCACCUGCUUGAAUACAGUCUCCCAUUUGAUGCUUGGAUUCUGGCAUAGCAUCCCUGGGAAGUGAUGGGAGCUGACGUCUGAAGGACUGAGUGGGCUGCAUGUCUGUGCUGGCUCAAUCCCAUGGCGGCCAGUUGAUGUGGCCAUGAGCUGGGCCCCCCCUGUAACCGACUUAUGUGGCCUGGUCUUCUCCUAGUAUAGAAGCUUGGUUCCAACUGGAAACACCAGAAGAGACUCAGGAAGAUGCGGUGGAGAGGUUGAUACAGUGUAAUCAUAUCUAUUGAUAUUGAUGGACUCUGGUUGGAGCACUGCAUAUAUUGUGAAGAGAGAGAGAGCACAAGCGUGACCAGUAGAGAGAGAGAGAAUCUUAAGCAAGUUCC